rnacentral:rRNA from 1 species
UACGUAGGGGGCUAGCGUUGUCCGGAAUCAUUGGGCGUAAAGCGCGCGCAGGCGGUUUCUUAAGUCUGAUGUGAAAGCCCACGGCUCAACCGUGGAGGGUCAUUGGAAACUGGGGAACUUGAGUGCAGAAGAGAAAAGCGGAAUUCCACGUGUAGCGGUGAAAUGCGUAGAGAUGUGGAGGAACACCAGUGGCGAAGGCGGCUUUUUGGUCUGUAACUGACGCUGAGGCGCGAAAGCGUGGGGAGCAAACAGG